UACGGGGGGGGCAAGGCGUUGUUCGGAAUUACUGGGCGUAAAGGGCUCGUAGGCGGCCAACUAAGUCAGACGUGAAAUACCCUCGGCUCAACCGAGGAACUGCGCUACCAUACUGCAUGGCUUGAGGGAGACAGGGGUAAGCGGAACUGAUGGUGGAGCGGUGAAAUGCGUUGAUAUCAUCAGGAACACCGGUGGCGAAAGCGGCUACUGGGUCGUCUUCUGACGCUGAGGUACGAAAGCUAAGGGGAGCGGAACGG
rnacentral:rRNA from 1 species